UCUGAGCUUUGCUACUGAGCUGUGGAGUGUAAUUUGAAUUUUCUUGUCUUAUAAUUCGGUUAAGACCCGUUAGAACCAGCAGCUAGAACACAAGGCAAGCCUCAAGAAAUAACCAGUAACCAGGAUAAUGACCGUGUUAGAACCAGUAGCAGAUACAACACAAGGCAAGCCUCGGAAAAUAACCAGAUUGAGCAUUCAGCUGAUUUGACAGUUGAAGCUAUGAUGCUUGACUCUCGAGAACGUCCUGAGCAGCAGCAGUAGAUCGGAGAGAUGGUUUGAAGACUGGUGGAGUCAGAGAGACAAGGAAGAACGUCCUCAGGUAUCCCAUACGCUCGAGCUUCUAAUCUUAGACAAGGAAGAACGUCCUGAGCAGCAGCAGAUGUAGGUCUGAGAGAUGGUUUGAAGACUGGUGGAGUCGGAGAGGUACCUCAACAAGUUCGUCUUCUUCUAAAUCCUCUGCUUUACCAUCUGUAGAUAUCAUGCUCAACAAGCUCGGUAGAUUUACUGGUGAAUUGGCUCAAAAGAAUGAAACCGUCAAUAGACAUUACAAGAACGUCAAGUUUAUGUGUGCGGAUAUUGCAUCCCCUGAGCUCAGAUUGCUUCUCAUAUAUCUUUCUGACAAAGAGGUGGAGCUUUUUGGCAAGCUAACCCUUGAUAUUUUUUACACUGAUCGCAACUCGAAAAACCUAGGGCCUAGUGGCAUUAUCCUAACAGAUCAAGGGCGGCGAAUCUAUUGGCCAGCUCCGUACUCUUCAUCGCCACCUCUGCUCUGUUACCUUUUGCCGCUUUCUGGUAAUGAAGAAGAUGAUCUGAGCUUUGUUAUUAAUAAGAAGAACACCUCCAGGAUAAGGAGCAGUUAGAAACUAGUAGCUACAACACAAAGUAAGCCUCAGGAAUUAACAUCAAAUGGGAAAAGGGAAGUUGAACAAUAUUUUAACCAAAUCAAGAAUGUCUAUAUAACUGCAUCAAUUCAAUUUUAUAUAAUUCUCCAACCGAAGCAAGCACAUAGGUCAACAACAAGGCCGCUGAUGCCUGGUUCUGUAUAUCCUUCUUUUUGAGAUGGUAUUGUAUUUAAGUCUAAUUCUUUUUUCUUUUCUUUUUGUGAGCAGAUAGAAAACAAGGAGAACAUCCCUUACCAUACCACCACUGUGCGUGGACCUUAAGAAGCAGCAAACUGCUACAAAAAUAGCUCAAGCCAAAGGCAGCCUUCAGAAAAAUGUGAAAAAGGGAAACGAGUGUUAUAGUCAAGCCAUCUUAAAGCAAAGGCUAGAUGGUGGAAAGUCAAGACUGAAUAAUAAUUGGAGGCCUCACUUUACUGAACCAAUGAGCCUUGUAGCCAUGUGCUCCAAAUAAACUACUGCAGAACUUAAGGCACCAAAAUUCAAAGAUAAACCGUUGAACAAAAAGGUCUGAGUGAUGAGUUAAGAUAUGGAAAACUUGUCACGGUUAUCUCAAGCCAAAGGCAAUCAUGUGUUGAAGCAAUCUAUUAAAGCAAGGCCAAGACUUGACAAAAGCUAGAUGAUCCAAUUAUGACCCAACGAUGGAAGAAUCCACUUCUUGCUCUCAGCUUCGGUUCCUUGAAUCAGAUCAAUGAGAUCAUCAUUCAAGCCUAGAGACCAUGUGAAACUUCCAUGAAUGAUACUAUGAGCAAACGUCCAAGAAGAAGAAGAAAAAACCCUCAAGAGUCGUGUUAGGACCAGUAGCUACAACACAAAGCAAGCUCAGGAAAUAUCAAGUUAACACCCAAGUUCCAAGAAGUACACCACAUCUGCCAGAAUUUUCAGGAAUUUCAUCUUCAAACAAUGGCAAGGGCUAACCAGCAUGCAAAGACAUCUCCAGUAGCUUCAAAUGAAGUGUGUAAGCAGGCCUAGCCUUACUAAACCAACGAGCCAUGUGGUCCAAACAAUGCGAACUCGUCGUACUAAACAAACAACUUCUGCAAGAGGAACUCAAGAAGGCAACACAUUCUAAAGCAAAACCUUUGAACAAAAAGUUCGACGACUCUUGAAUGAUUUGUUCGUAAUAUACCAUUGAUGGUUUUAUUGGAGCCUCGGAGGUGGAUUUAUCGGAGACUCGGAGUGAUAUGUUAAGAAAUGGGGAAACUCAAGAAAUUGAUGUAGAUGGAAUAACAAUGGAUCAGAAGAGUGAAAGAAAGCCGUCAGAACCAUGAGCUUCAACUCUAUUUUCCCAAUUACAGCCUUCAAAGACCAAGAAAUAAGAAGUUCACAAGUAAGCCGUUUCCCAACAAUUUCGAGUGCACAAAGCACAACAAAAUCAAGACCGCAUGUUCUAGGUUAUGGUAUUGCAGUUAAGUGAGAUGAAUGGCCGUUGGGAUGCGACGUUCCUCGUGCUUGUACACCCAAACAACUACUGCUAGAAAGAUUAGCUAGUCUGCUGAAGAAUCCAUCUGCACUUAGGCCAAAGAAAACAGUCACAGUUGUCUCAAGCCAAAGACAGCAGUCAUCAGAAAAGUGUGAAAAGGUAGGUGACAGUCUUAACAAGUAUACCCAAAUAUGGUAUAACCAAGUUAUAUAUAACAUCACCUAAACAGCUAAACCCAGCAAUUGCGAAGUCUAGACGGUCGUGUCAAAUAUCUCUUUGGUGUAACUAUUCUCGACUUUUUCUUUUCCCUACAAACGAAAUACAUUAGUUACAUACUUACAAUUCAAGAGCGAUGAUGAUUGAUGCUAUUGCUAUUGUUUGUUCUUUCUAGCUA